rfam:Medicago truncatula strain A17 chromosome 1, whole genome shotgun sequence.
AAACAGCCCCUUAUGUAUUGGAUCUUUGGCAGUUUUGGCCCCAAAACCACUUUUGACUUAAUCUUCGCUGACGUGGCACCCAUAAUGGUCGACACGUGACACCUCACUUAAGGGAUGUGGGUGCCACGUCAGCGAAUACUAAGUCAAAAGUGGUCUUGGGGGCAAAAACUGCCAAAUAUUCAAUACAUAGAGGGCUGUUU